rnacentral:rRNA from 1 species
GACGAACGCUGGCGGCGUGCUUAACACAUGCAAGUCGAGCGAUGAAGCUCCUUCGGGAGUAGAUUAGCGGCGGACGGGUGAGUAACACGUGGGUAACCUGCCUCAUAGAGGGGAAUAGCCUUUCGAAAGGAAGAUUAAUACCGCAUAAGAUUGUAGCUUCGCAUGAAGCAGCAAUUAAAGGAGUAAUCCGCUAUGAGAUGGACCCGCGUCGCAUUAGCUAGUUGGUGAGGUAACGGCUCACCAAGGCGACGAUGCGUAGUCGACCUGAGAGGGUGAUCGGCCACAUUGGGACUGAGACACGGCCCAGACUCCUACGGGAGGCAGCAGUGGGGAAUAUUGCACAAUGGGGAAACCCUGAUGCAGCAACGCCGCGUGAGUGAUGACGGUCUUCGGAUUGUAAAGCUCUGUCUUCAGGGACGAUAAUGACGGUACCUGAGGAGGAAGCCACGGCUAACUACGUGCCAGCCGCCGCGGUAA